rnacentral:rRNA from 1 species
GACGAACGCUGGCGGCGUGCUUAACACAUGCAAGUCGAACGAAGUGGCGAACGGGUGAGUAACGCGUAAUCAACCUGCCCUUCAGAGGGGGACAACAGUUGAAAACGACUGCUAAUACCGCAUACUGAAGGAGGGGAUUGCGUGUGAUUAGCUAGGUGGAGGGGUAACGGGCCACCAAGGCGAUGAUCAGUAGCCGGGCUGAGAGGAUGGACGGCCAAAUUGGGACUGAGAAACGGGCCAGACUCCUACGGGAGGGAGCAGUGGGGAAGCUUCCGCAAUGGACGAAAGUCUGACGGAGCAACGCCGCGGGAGUGAUGAAGGCCUUCGGGUUGUAAAGCUCUGUUAAUCGGGACGCGGUACCGGAAUAGAAAGCCACGGCUAACUACGUGCCAGCAGCCGCGGUAAUAC